UACUUGCUCCACCCCACAACUGCCUCACAAGCAUCCCAGAGUCCAGUCAGCAGACAGCAGAAGAGACUGUCAGCAGACCACCUUGGAGGGGAUGCUUGGAGCUGCCUAACGUGUGAUUCAAAGAUGAAUUCCAUGUGUUUGGAGAAGAAGCCCUAGCCUCAACACAAAGGUUGGCCACAUUCCAGCCAAGGUAGCACGGAGUGAAGGCCCGUGGAGGGAGAGCUGGGCUUUUCUGAACUACUUCAGUACACCUUGCUGUGCCUUGGCCUGCCGUGUUUCAUCCCCAUGGCUGUCCUCAGUGAUGUGCAUGGUCACUGCUCCCUUCACCACUGAGAAGACGGGCACAGGACAGUCAGGGGAUGUGUCCAAGGUCCCACAGCAGGAAGGGCUGGAGCCAGAAUGUGGUCUGAGAGGCUGGAUAUACAAAGAGACAAUGGCAUGACCAUCUGUACAAAUGGAACUAUGGCCCACAACCUGCAGCAGCCAGCCCAGGAAGCCAACCCGUCACCUGCAGCAGCCAGGAUGGAUGCUGGCCUGCCCUCAGUUGUACUCACAUCAUUGGUCUUAUGGGGAAAUUUUAAGACCUCCCACUUGUAAGGUUUUAUAGCCCUCUAUGGAAUAUUGAAGAAAGAGUAAAAUGCAUCCAAAAAAAAAAAAAAACACUAAACUGGAUAAAUUCUAAGGCCUCUUCAGGUCUUAAGAUGGCCAUUUUCUAGGUCCUCUUGCUGCAGCAGUGAAAUCCACAAACACGGACAAGUCAGUCAGUUACGUGCCUUUCAGAGAAAACUUCUGACUUAGGAAUUCCAGCUAUUUGGCCCAACCCAUAUUAGAUUGUGUUAUAAAGACAUGGUAAAUUACAUCACGAAGGGAAGAGCAGAGGAAACAUAAUAUUCCUUCAAGACCCAUCAGCUCAGAUGUUAGCAGAACACCCCUAAGGAGGAAAACAAGAAAUUUUGGGUUUGAACUUGGUACUUCCCAGCAGCCCUGGGAGUGGGGUCAGAAGCCCUGCUGGGGGCCAAAGAACUCUGAGGAUCAAAGAUGUUGAGCAUCACCUUAGAGGCCAAAGAUCAGAACAGUGGAGGUGGCCUUUGAAGCCCAACCUGUCUUUCACCAGAGAGUGAGAACGGCCUCUAUUUCCAGGAAGCUCACUGCAGCAAUAAUCAUGAUGCUCUGAGCCUGACAAGGUGAGAAUUUACUUUCAGCACCUGCAAUAGUUUCCUAUUAAAGUUACAUAUGAAACCCUGCCGUCUUGUACCAACUAAUGUUCACACCAGCGUUCCUAUUUUCAAGAUAAAUUGCAAAAUAAAAACUCUUGUUUUCGUUAGCAAAAGAAAACUUCUUUAGGAGGAUAAAAGGGAGAUGAAGAAACAGAAAACACAUCAGCUCUCCAUCCAGAUUACAGAAAGCAGAAAACAUCCUGAAGUGAAUAACAUAGGAAUCGCUCUUUUUCCCCCCUGAGAUAGCAGGUUACUUAUGAGAAACAAGCUUGAAAUCUCUGCACCUGGACCAGCUUCCAGAGGCUUUUGUCCUGACCAGCUGGCUUUGGGGAAGUAAAGGAAACCAGAGAAGAAGAGGCUGAAAGAAUUGGUUUCCACCGUGACCUUUGAACCCUCGGGCGAGUUGUCAGCCUCACUGAGGAUGAGUGUACUCCAUAUCAAGUGAGGUCACUUUACUCGCAAGCUUGUUGUGAGGACUGAAUGAAACCUUUUCUUUUUUCUUGGAGUUUCAGAGCAACGUCCCUGAGCCCAGCCCCACACUGGCUUGAGCCCUGUCGUCGGUCAAGACACGGUGCUUUCUCCCCUCCCCUCUGCACUCCAGCUUACUCUGCAGUCAGGAGGUGGCACCACGAUCCCCUUUAAGACUUUGCCACUUGGGCCAGCUGCGCCCCUGUGAAAUUCCCUGUUUCUAUUGCAGGCCACAAGGACGAGCUGAGAAAUGGCUUCCAGUCACCAUCUAGAUUAGAAAGCCUAUAUUUCAAAUAUAGAUAUAUCAAUUAUGCCUGUAAAAAGACAUUAAAUCCCACAGGGCUGUAAUUCCUAGACUCUACGAAUUUCAUCUUGCACCAAAUUUUAUUAUUUCAUUUAUAAUUCGGAUUCUUCAAAUCUAAGAGUGCCUGGCUCAAAAUUAAAAUACCUACAACUAUGCCAAAACUGGACUCUUUAAUUGCCUUACUGGAACCAGUAGCUGAUUCAAAGCAAAACGAAACAAAAUUCCUCCUUUCUCUGAUUUAGUGAAUCAAUGAUCUAACUGAACUCAUUUUUGGACUGAGUUUGCGGCACUUGCAGCCCUGAGGGACACAUUCCCCCACCACACUGAGCCUGCACUCCCAUCAAUGCAAAUGAACAUUUUGCUUAUUCAGAUUGGGGGGGUGAAGGAAGUCACAAAAGGGUUAAUACAUAUGGCAUUUCAUUGUAAUAUGUACUCACUACUAACUAAAUUAAAAGAGAUGUGAGUUAUUAAAAACUCCAUCUUAAGAAAGUAACAGAAAUCAGAGUUCAGAUUCGUUGUUACUGAGUUUCCAACCAACACCUGUGAGUUAAACCUACGGCCACCCUGAAAACGGUUCAUAUUUUCAAAAGCUUCAUCGAAGAUGAGCUGCACUAAAGAUUCAUAUUACAUAUCAUGCUGCAAUAAGAAAAUCAAAUAAGGCCUUUCCAUAUUCAAUAAUAAAGUUUAAAGAAAAGUAAUAUUUGUUUAGCCAGUUAGCCAGAAAUUAGAUGUAUCAGAAUACAUCAUUCUUUGAGCAUUUUAGAAAAAUCAGGGUAUUUCUACAUUGUGUUUUUCUUUGUAAGCCCUCAAAAAAUAUAGAGAAUAUUCUUGAAAUUA
ensembl:lncRNA LINC01304 long intergenic non-protein coding RNA 1304